rnacentral:lncRNA from 1 species
CCAACAAGUAGGAGUAAUUUCCUCUAUUGAUGCAGAAGUAGGAGUAAUUUCCUCUCUUGAUGCUCGUCUCCACUGAGUGCUCCCUUCCUCUCAUCCCAGUCCUCUCCUCCAUUGCACUCUAUGGAAUAAGAUCUAUCCGCCAUACUCCCCUGGCCUCCCUCCUGCCAACUGACUGCCACAGACCGUGGACGUUUUGGGUAUAUUUAUCGAUUGGAAAGUAGCAAUGCUUGGAUCUAAAAGUUAUUUGUUAUCCUGCUUGAGAUUCUCAUCGAUUUGUGUUGAUUGAAUCCAGGGUGGCAGCGGAAUACUAGCUUGCAAG